CCUACGGGAGGCAGCAGUGAGGAAUAUUGGUCAAUGGGCGUAAGCCUGAACCAGUCAAGUCGCGUGAGGGAUGAAGGUUCUAUGGAUCGUAAACCUCUUUUAUAAGGGAAUAAAGUGCGGGACGUGUCCCGUUUUGUAUGUACCUUAUGAAUAAGGAUCGGCUAACUCCGUGCCAGCAGCCGCGGUAAUACGGAGGAUCCGAGCGUUAUCCGGAUUUAUUGGGUUUAAAGGGUGCGUAGGCGGCCUUUUAAGUCAGCGGUGAAAGUCUGUGGCUCAACCAUAGAAUUGCCGUUGAAACUGGGAGGCUUGAGUAUGUUUGAGGCAGGCGGAAUGCGUGGUGUAGCGGUGAAAUGCUUAGAUAUCACGCAGAACCCCGAUUGCGAAGGCAGCCUGCCAAGCCAUGACUGACGCUGAUGCACGAAAGCGUGGGGAGCAAACAGGAUUAGAUACCCCAGUAGUC
rnacentral:rRNA from 1 species